UAAGCAGACAGACUUCUGUAUUUUCUUCCUAUCCUAGUCUUUCCAGUGCCAGUCUUCCUCUAGCCAAGAUAAUUCCAAUAAUAAAUGGGCAGAUCCAUUCAGUCUGCAGCGAAACACCUAGCCAUUUUGUUCAGGACUUAUUAAUGAUGGAACAAGUGAAAGACUUCGCUGCUAAUGUAUAUGAAGCCUUCAGUACCCCACAACAACUAGAGAAGUAAACUGCUGUUCAAUAUGUACAGAAUAUACUAUUUAGUAUCCAGUUAUUGUGACUAUUCAUUUUGAUAAUGAAACUCUUAACAGAGUGCUAUAGAAUGACUGUCCUUGUAAAUCAAACACAUUUUAAAAAGUUCAUUUCCAAAUUUUUAUAAUGGAAUUCCUACAGCUGACUAAAGUAAUUAUUAAUAUAAAAAAAUCUUUGUGCUGUAAGCCUUUGCAUUGAGGCAGUCAAUUUUAAAUAACUUGUUUACAAAAAAGCAGUGCAAUGAGCACUGUGUCAACAGAAAGCUUCUGAAGAUUAAUGGCAGUCUUUACAAUUGUGCAGACUACCACAGCAACAGUAUGAUGGGAAAACUAAGUCCAGUCGAUUUUCAGGCUGGAGUAAUAAAAUCUUUCUGCAGUUUCUCUCCUAUUCAGCGACUUAUCAGUUGUAUUAGAAACACAACAUGACAGUGGGCAGAUGGAACAAAAAUAACCCAGUUAUUAAACCCAGUUCUGGUAUAUCUGACACCAUUUUCCCCCAUCGGUAAAUGAGAAUGGGUUUUAGUUGAAGUUUCUCUUGGCACAAAACCACCAUACAAUUCUCACUCUACAACUGAAUAAGAGGGACUUUGAUCAAAAGAUCAUUAUGCUCCUAUUAUAUUUCUGGUGGUGGAUGAGUAAUUAUGCUUUUCUCUUUUUUAACCACCAAAUGUUUUUCUUAAGCUGACUUGGGGGAGCAGAUAAGCAACCCAGCAAUGGGCUAGAUGGCUUUCAAAGUUUUAGGUUCUUCAGACUGGGACUACUAUAUGCUAAGGGUCUGCUGUGGUCUGAAAAGUGCAAUGUUGAGCUUGCUGUAUAAGUUUGGAAUUGAAAUGCAUUGUUUCUAGCAAAAAUUAUGUUUACAAUGUUUAUAAAUGGCUAUUGCUGUAUACAUUCAUUUUGUAAAUAUUUUUAAUUUGUAUUUACUUGGAUCCCUACAAAAUAUCUGAAUCACAAUAAACUAUUUUGACAGAUUA